rnacentral:tRNA from 1 species
ACCUGGCUGGCUCUGUCGGUGGAGCAUGGGACUCUUGAUCUCAGGGUCAUGAGUUCAAGCCCCAUGUUGGGCA